rnacentral:pre_miRNA from 1 species
AAAGUACUCCCUCCGUCCCAAAAUUCUUGUCUUAGAUUUGUCUAGAUACGGAUGUAUCAAGUCACAUUUUAGUAUUAGAUACAUCCGUAUCUAGACAAAUCUAAGACAAGAAAUUUGGGACAGAGGGAGUACUUC